rnacentral:rRNA from 1 species
AAUACGAAGGGACCUAGCGUAGUUCGGAAUUACUGGGCUUAAAGAGUUCGUAGGUGGUUGAAAUAGUUGGUGGUGAAAUCCCAGAGCUUAACUCUGGAACUGCCAUCAAAACUUUUCAGCUAGAGCUUGAUAGAGGAAAGCAGAAUUUCUAGUGUAGAGGUGAAAUUCGUAGAUAUUAGAAAGAAUACCAAUUGCGAAGGCAGCUUUCUGGAUCAUUACUGACACUGAGGAACGAAAGCAUGGGUACCGAAGAGGAUUAGAUACCCUCGUAGUCCAUGCCGUAAACGAUGUGUGUUAGACGUUGGAAAUUUAUUUUCAGUGUCGCAGCGAAAGCGAUAAACACACCGCCUGGGGAGUACGACCGCAAGGUUAAAACUCAAAUGAAUUGACGGGGACCCGCACAAGUAGUGGAGCAUGUGGUUUAAUUCGAAGAUACGCGCAGAACCUUACCAACACUUGACAUGUUCGUCGCGACUUUAAGAGAUUAAAGUUUUCGGUUCGGCCGGACGAAACACAGGUGCUGCAUGGCUGUCGUCAGCUCGUGUCGUGAGAUGUUGGGUUAAGUCCCGCAACGAGCGCAACCCUCACUUUUAGUUGCCAUCAUUUAGUUGGGCACUCUGAAAGAACUGCCAGUGAUAAGCUGGAGGAAGGUGGGGAUGACGUCAAGUCCUCAUGGCCCUUACGUGUUGGGCUACACACGUGCUACAAUGGUAUUUACAACAGGAAGCAAGACGGCGACGUUAAGCAAAUCCUUAAAAGAUACCUCAGUUCGGAUUGCACUCUGCAACUCGAGUGCAUGAAGCUGGAAUUACUAGUAAUCGUGGAUCAGCGUGCCACGGUGAAUGCGUUCCCGGGUCUUGUACACACCGCCCGUCACACCAUGGGAGUUGGUUCUACCUUAAGGCAAGGUUUAAAACCCUUGACCACGGUAUAGUCAGC